rnacentral:rRNA from 1 species
CCAGACUCCUACGGGAGGCAGCAGUGAGGAAUAUUGGUCAAUGGGCGGAAGCCUGAACCAGCCAAGUCGCGUGAGGGAAGAAGGCCCUGCGGGUCGCAGACCUCUUUGGACGGGGAGCAAGGCCGCCGACGUGUCGGCGGAAGGAGAGUACCCGUAGAACAAGCAUCGGCUAACUACGUGCCAGCAGCCGCGGUAAUACGUAGGGUGCAAGCGUUAUCCGGAUUUAUUGGGCGUAAAGGGCUCGUAGGCGGUUCGUCGCGUCCGGUGUGAAAGUCCAUCGCUUAACGGUGGAUCCGCGCCGGGUACGGGCGGGCUUGAGUGCGGUAGGGGAGACUGGAAUUCCCGGUGUAACGGUGGAAUGUGUAGAUAUCGGGAAGAACACCAAUGGCGAAGGCAGGUCUCUGGGCCGUUACUGACGCUGAGGAGCGAAAGCGUGGGGAGCGAACAGGAUUAGAUACCCUCGUA